GCCACGUGAUGAUACAAAGGCGAGUGUGACCUCGCGGUGCCAAGGUCGAGGGGAGGCUGCCCGAGCCCCGAGGGUCCGUAAUCUUGGUGGGCACGUCCAAGGCCUGCGUGCUCGCUGUAAGGCCGGACCAACAGCAAGAUCCAGCGCCCAGCGACCGGGGAGGAGGAGCCCGUCACCCCGGCAACGCUCGGGAGCAGGGCGCGGACACGGGGGGGGGGGGGGGGGAGGGGGGGGCGGGAGGCUCGCCGGAGUUCGGGCAGGAACCCCCCAGUCGACCUGCCGGAGUGGGUGAUCGCACAUCUUUGGUAAUCUGAUGGCC